rnacentral:rRNA from 1 species
AACGAACGCUAGCGGCAGGCCUAACACAUGCAAGUCGAGCGAAGCCUUCGGGCUUAGCGGCGGACGGGUGAGUAACGCGUGGGAACGUGCCCUUUGGUACGGAAUAGCCCCGGGAAACUGGGAGUAAUACCGUAUGUGGUCGAGAGACGAAAGAUUUAUCGCCAAAGGAUCGGCCCGCGUUGGAUUAGGUAGUUGGUGGGGUAAUGGCCUACCAAGCCGACGAUCCAUAGCUGGUUUGAGAGGAUGAUCAGCCACACCGGGACUGAGACACGGCCCAGACUCCUACGGGAGGCAGCAGUGGGGAAUCUUAGACAAUGGGGGAAACCCUGAUCUAGCCAUGCCGCGUGAUCGAUGAAGGCCUUAGGGUUGUAAAGAUCUUUCAGUGGGGAAGAUAAUGACUGUACCCACAGAAGAAGCCCCGGCUAACUCCGUGCCAGCAGCCGCAGUAAGAC